rnacentral:rRNA from 1 species
GACGAACGCUGGCGGCGUGCCUAAUACAUGCAAGUCGAGCGAAGUUUUUCUGGUGCUUGCACCGGAAAAACUUAGCGGCGAACGGGUGAGUAACACGUAAAGAACCUGCCUCAUAGACUGGGACAACUAUUGGAAACGAUAGCUGAUACCGGAUAAUAGCAUUAACUGCAUGGUUGAUGUUUAAAAGUUGGUUUUGCUAACACUAUGAGAUGGCUUUGCGGUGCAUUAGCUAGUUGGUGGGGUAAAGGCCUACCAAGGCGACGAUGCAUAGCCGACCUGAGAGGGUGAUCGGCCACACUGGGACUGAGACACGGCCCAGACUCCUACGGGAGGCAGCAGUAGGGAAUCUUCCGCAGUGGGCGAAAGCCUGACGGAGCAACGCCGCGUGAGUGAAGAAGGAUUUCGGUUCGUAAAGCUCUGUUGUUAGGGAAGAAUGAUUGUGUAGUAACUAUACACAGUAGAGACGGUACCUAACCAGAAAGCCACGGCUAACUACGUG